GACGAACGCUGGCGGCGUGCUUAACACAUGCAAGUCGAACGGAAAGGCCUGCUUUCCCUUGUGUAUUGCGGGUACUCGAGUGGCGAACGGGUGAGUACCACGUGAGUGAUCUGCCCCCAACUUGGGUAUAAGCCUGGGAAACUGGGUCUAAUUCCCGAUAGUACUGCAGGGUGGUGCCUGUGGUGGAAAACGAUUUUCUAGUGGUUGGGGAUGAGCUCGCGGCCUAUCAGCUUGUUGGUGGGGUAAUGGCCUACCAAGGCGUCGACGGGUAGCCGGCCUGAGAGGGUGGACGGCCACAUUGGGACUGAGAUCCGGCCCAGACUCCUACGGGAGGCAGCAGUGGGGGAUAGUGCACAACGGGCGGAAGCCUGAUGCAGCGACGCCGCGUGGGGGAUGACGGCCUUCGGGUUGUAAACUCCUUUGGACCGAGAGGAAGCCACCUGGUUGGAAGGGUGGUGACGGUAGUGGUAGAAGAAGCACCGGCUAACUACGUG
rnacentral:rRNA from 1 species